rnacentral:rRNA from 1 species
UACAGAGGGGGCAAGCGUUAUUCGGAAUUAUUGGGCGUAAAGAGCUCGUAGGCGGUUUGUCGCGUCUGCUGUGAAAACUCGGGGCUUAACUCCGGGCCUGCAGUGGGUACGGGCAGACUAGAGUGCGGUAGGGGAGACUGGAAUUCCUGGUGUAGCGGUGAAAUGCGCAGAUAUCAGGAGGAACACCGGUGGCGAAGGCGGGUCUCUGGGCCGUAACUGACGCUGAGGAGCGAAAGCGUGGGGAGCGAACAGG